UACGUAGGGUGCGAGCGUUGCCCGGAUUUAUUGGGCGUAAAGGGCGCGUAGGCGGCCACGCACGUCCGUUGUGAAAUCGCCCGGCUCAACUGGGCGGGGUCAGCGGAUACGGUGUGGCUCGAGCAAGCUAGGGGGCAAUGGAAUUCCCGGUGUAGUGGUGGAAUGCGUAGAUAUCGGGAGGAACACCAGUGGCGAGGGCGGUUGCCUGGAGCUUUGCUGACGCUGAGGCGCGAAAGCGUGGGGAGCGAUCCGG
rnacentral:rRNA from 1 species